UUUGUUUCGUAUUUCGUCUUGCUCUUUUAUUAUUUAUGCUAAUUAAAUGUUAAAUGCUAUACAAUAUUUUUUAAUCUUGUGUAGCAUACAAUUUGAUUAAUUCUCAAGUUAGAUUAAAUUGUUGUUGUAUUUUUUUUUUUUUCUUUUUUUUUGUGUUUUGUUUAUUUAUAUUUAUUUUUUUUCGUCGGGCGUUGAGUUUAAAUUUAGCUGUCUUAAAUACGAUAUAGUACAUACACAUAUAUUUAUAGACUAUUUACAAAUGGCUUAGGCCUAAACGAAUUCGUACAAGAACAGAAAACACUCAAUGCAAAUAAAAAUUGAUGUUUAGUUAUUGUAUGUAGACACAUAAUAAAAAUGGAAAUAAUUUAUAAAUAAUAUGAUAAAAACGUGACGUUUCCAAUGCAUGGCCAAUUGUUGUUGCUUAGUUCGAUAAAUUUGAGGAUUCUUAAUGGGGAUCUUGAAAUUGUUGGAUAAUUCUUGUUUAUUUGGUUUUUGAUCAUUUGCGAUUCGAAUUCGAUUGCCUUUAGAUAAAGGAAUUGGUUUUUGUUUGUGUUUAUUUUCUUUUUCUUUUCUUGUAAUGGACAUUACACACAAUCCCGCUCUUCUCUCUCUCUCUCUCUCUUUGUCUCUCUUUCUCGGUGUCUCUCUCUCUCUCUCUCUCUCAUCUAUCUUUUUGUAGCUAUAUCAGUUGCUUUCUCACACAUUUAAAAUGUUGAAUUUAAACCGAUUUGAUUGUUAUUGCUUAUAUAGAGAAUAAACAAAUGGCACGGAAGUUCUUGUUUUUAGCAGACAUAAAUGUUAACAAAGUUCUAUUGCUGAACGGCCAAUAGAAUCAACUAUAUAUAUAUAUAGAUGUAUUUAUAUAUGUAUAUGUAUAU